CCUUGGCGUCACGGGCCGGGGUGGGAGCCCACUAGCCCACUGGCCAGUCAGUGACAUUGCCCCGAGCGCCCCCGGCGCCGCACCACCAUUCCUGCCGCCGGCCGGCGUCCGCCGCCGCAACAGGAUGGUUGUUCUGUACUACCAGUACCAGCCAACCCGCCCGGCACUCCCCCGCGCUUCGCCGUCGCAGCGAAAAAUGAAGUGUCUUCCACUUUCCUGAUACAAGCAAAGGACGCCAAAAAUAUUUAUUAUCAUCUCAAGUUGAGUCUACCAUAAAUUAAGAAACUGCUAGAUCACUGUAAGUUGUACUGCUCAAUAGCCUAUCUUUGUCUAUGAACUUUAUCACGACCAUUACUUUAGCUAAGUUCAGUAAGUUGGUAUCAAAAUCCAAGUUUACUACAUGCUUCCAGAUGAUAGAUACAAAUUGUGUGAUUCAUGUCCACAACGUCACUGUCUUUGAUCUCUAUCGCUUCAGGCUUUCACAAUUAGUUAUCCAUGGGACCUGCCUAUAGGCUAUAGCCUAUAGCUCAACCAUUUAUCUUCACAAGGGGCACAUUCGAAUCCCAACUACUAUUCAGUUUUGUAUCAAGAUAUUUGCUCGAUGACACUGGAAACUCUGCAGUUUAGCAACCUGGAAUCUUUGGAAUAGGUUGUAUAUUGACAACAGAGUAAAGUGUCAUUCUAAAAGUUAUUGCUACCCUGAUUGCCCACGAUAGAAUGGGAAGUAAUUAAGAUUCUCUUUCUCUCUUUUCUAACAUUUGCAGUGAAUACUCUUUUGAUUGUUAUUGGGGACAGGUUGUUGAAAAUGGGUAGAACACUGUUCCUUUCUCGUGGUCCUUUAGUGCAAUGCAGAUAUUCCACUCUGAAGUUAAACUAGAUUAAGAAUUUGCUUUUUGCCUUAAUUUAUAAGAAGCCUUUUUGAAAGUGACAAGGGCAUUUGCUAGUUAUUAAAUGGUUAGCACUUUGACAGAGUAGAUGUUAGAUUAAAUGGACUUUUCAGUUUGCACUUGGACAAAAGCUCAUAGGUCCUUUUAGAACUUAGAAGUAUCCCUGGCCUUUGGAUUUUGCGUUUGGGUUGGUUUUUAUAUGAAAAGGUCAGUCAACUUGUUUUCAUCACGUUCAUGUGUAUGUAUGCAUCCCUAUUGUUUGAUGCUGCUGCUCUUUUUGAACAUGGCAUGAUGGAUUUCCUAUGGUUGCAUCGUAUAUUUAAAAUUGCCUUAGCUUUUUUUUUGAGAUCUAAAAUUGCCUUAGUUAGAACUUAGAAGUUUGCUUCCAAAAGUUUAGUUCUGCUCAGUGGAGAAACUGGAUUUGGGGCAAGGCUAUUGUCCUGUAAACUGUAAUGCACAUACAUUUCUUUUCUUAAGGUGAGAUACUCUUAGUAAUGCUCAUUUGCUUCCAUGACUGAUCUAUUCAUAACAACAUUUUUUUUCAAGAACCCUUGUGAAGGUUGUUUAAAGUUUGAUAGAAAUGGAUUCAAAUUUUCUUAUCAAGGAAAAGAAAGUUGUCCUCCCCAUUAUUUGAUUCCAAGGAAUGUAAAAAUUCUUUAUCUUCAUCUAAAGCUGAAUAUAGACUCUAAAAUAAGAGAGGGCGACACCACCAUAUGUUGUCUACUGUCCAAUAGCCUAUCUAUAUCUACUGUCCAAUAGCCUAUAUCUAUAUCUAUGAGCUUUAUCACAACAUUAGUUCCAAUAAGGUGAUAUCUAAAUUCAGAAGUCCACUACAUGCUUCCAGAUGAUUGAUAGGAAUAGGGUAAUCCAUGUCCCUGGGGAUACUUUCUUUAAUCUCUAUAGGUCUCUCAGGUUUACACAAGCAGAUUCACAUAGACCAUUCGUCCAUGAGACCUUUGGCCUAUAUAGAUCAAUAGUUCAUCUUCAUAAAGAACAUGUUCAAUGUCCCAGUAGUAUUUUUUUUUCAAACUAGUAGUGCAUGGUUUUAUUUAUCAGGAUAUAUCCUCUGUAACACUGGAAACUCUGCAGCUUAGGAGUUGAAAUGCACAAGUUAGUUCACAUAACUGUAAAGUAUCGUUUUGAAAUUUGUAUAUUAACACAAGGGAGAAAUAAAUGUUAAGCAAACCGCUUUGUGUUUAAGUGUUUGUGUUGUUCGAUGUGCUGUGUUUAGGUGCAAUCCUGUAUAGCAGUAACAGAGUGCUUGAGUUGUUUGAUGUAUGUGUGAUGUUGAGUAUAGGUUUGGCUGCUGAGCCUCUUCUUUUGUAGUUUACACCCUUGUCUUAGGUGUUCACAAAUAAUCAUGUGUAGUCUUGCCUUUAGGUGGAAAUAUUGUUAUCAUUUGUAAGACCUCUAACUUCAUGCUAUUAACCUUUUAUUGCUCUUUGGAAAACCAUACAACUUGUCCUGGGGGCAAAGAUGAAAAAACAGUAAGUGGGCCAAGUCCAAUAGGCUGAUAGAUUGUACUGGUCAAUUCAGCCCACUAGAUAUUACAAGUGUGAAGUGUCUGUCAACUAAAGAAUUCUUGUUCUCACUUCAAGCCUGAGGAAAACUUCCGUGUUGUCAUGGAAACUUCUGAUCUCUUGGCAAUUCUUUAUUGUGAUGUGUUACUUUUCACUUACUUUCAUGACUUCCUGUGAAUGUAUAUACAAUUAAAACAUGUCGCUUCUUUUCUGAAAAGAAAAUACAUUUGGCUUCAUUCUCUCUGCUGGCUCUCUGGUGUUCUUUUUUUUUUUUGAUGGGGCUCUCUGGCGUUCUACUACUUCAAUUCUGCGUCUGUACAUGUUGCAGGUCAAACCAAUUGGUCCAAGUGAUAAUGGCAUAUUGGAACGUAGUAAUUCUAACAAUUGAUCAACGACAUUAAAGAUCAAUUAUAACACUGAUGAUAAUGAAAGUUGAGAAUGGUUUCCUCAACGCACAGCUACUUCUAUAAUUAAAUGACACACAGCUCCCUUCCGUAUUCGAGAGAGGGAGGGAGAAUUCCAUUCUGUACUAUAUCACUAUUGCUUGCAUCCUUGCGACUGUACAAGCAAGAUUUCAUGCUAAGAACCUGGGUGCAUUGCACAACAAAGCUUUUCCUCAGGUGAUUUCUGUGUUAAGACGCAUGCUGGCUUGAUAAAUGAUUGAUCUUCGAGAUGAUCUCUACAUUUUGUGCCUUUUGUUUUUUGAUGAGAGGGUUCACUGACUUCUCAGUUUUACUGUUAUACUUAGACCCUUUGGUGUUACUAGAAAACAUACCAGCCGUCCAGCUGUGUAACUUUCUGACUUGUAUUGACCCUCUUAUCAGUUUGAGCAUCGUGUUAUUCUGAUUCUGAUUAUCAUUGUCAGAUGGAUGUCUGAAGGUAGUCGAGGACCAUGGUUUUCUCACAACAAUUUUGUUGUAGUUUGUAAGGACUAAUUAAACUAUCAUUUGUACAAUCAGGCAUGCAGCUCCAGGUUCCUACCCUUGAACUAAAUGGCAGGAUGGGCAUAUAGUGCGAACUCUAUUUUUGGCUUUUUAAGUUUUCCCAACUGGAAGCUCUGCCUGUGUAAAUUUAGAGAAAUUUAUGAAACCUAUCAAUCUAGGAAAAAUCAACUUUCAAAUCACAUCCUAUAUGCAACCUUCUUGUACUUGGGUACAGAAUUGCAUUGGAGAUAUAUUGUUAAAUACAUAAUUUUUUUUGGACACUCCAUUUCUUAGGAAAGUAUGCUGUAGGAAAUCCUCACAGAUCUUGUGAGGUCCGUUUUAUUCUGACCUCAGCAUUUAGAUGUAUAUGUAAAUCUAACUUCUUGACACCAAUUGAACAUAGCACUAGCUAUGAUCUUGCAUAUCUUUUAGGUACAUGUACAUAUACUUAAACCAUACUUAUUGUUAUCAAUUUCACACAGUCCAAAUUGUA